CGGAGGAUCCGAGCGUUAUCCGGAUUUAUUGGGUUUAAAGGGUGCGUAGGUGGCCUGUUAAGUCAGGGGUGAAAGACGGUAGCUCAACUAUCGCAGUGCCCUUGAUACUGAUGGGCUUGAAUGAACUAGAGGUAGGCGGAAUGUGACAAGUAGCGGUGAAAUGCAUAGAUAUGUCACAGAACACCAAUUGCGAAGGCAGCUUACUAUGGUUUUAUUGACACUGAGGCACGAAAGCGUGGGGAUCAAACAGGAUUAGAUACCCUGGUAGUCCACGCCCUAAACGAUGAAUACUCGAUGUUGGCGAUAUACGGUCAGCGUCUAAGCGAAAGCGUUAAGUAUUCCACCUGGGGAGUACGCCCGCAAGGGUG
rnacentral:rRNA from 1 species